rnacentral:rRNA from 1 species
UACAGAGACUGCAAGCGUUAUUCGGAAUCACUGGGCGUAAAGCGCACGUAGGCGGCUUUUUAAGUCAGGGGUGAAAUCCUGGAGCUCAACUCCAGAACUGCCUUUGAUACUGAGAAGCUUGAGUCUGGGAGAGGUGAGUGGAACUGCGAGUGUAGAGGUGAAAUUCGUAGAUAUUCGCAAGAACACCAGUGGCGAAGGCGGCUCACUGGCCCGGUACUGACGCUGAGGUGCGAAAGCGUGGGGAGCAAACAGG